rnacentral:rRNA from 1 species
UCGGUAGAGCGGCGAACGGCUGAGUAACACGUUGGAACCUGCCCCAGACUCAGGGAUAACAUCGAGAAAUCGGUGCUAAUACCGGAUGGUCUCGUAAGAGUAAAGCUUUUGCGGUCUGGGAGGGGCCUGCGGCCUAUCAGUUUGUUGGUGAGGUAAUAGCUCACCAAGACUAUGACGGGUAACUGGUCUGAGAGGACGACCAGUCAGAAUGGGACUGAGACACGGCCCAUACUCC